GUCACAUUUAGAAGAGCCAAAUGGACCCUUGAAUGGAAGUCCCCAGAAACACGUUGUAACAUGAAUAACAAAAAAGGAGUAAAUAAAAAAUUCUAAAGGCAACUAUGAGCUUCUCUCCUCAAGAAGUGAAGAAAUCCAAGACACAUCCGGUCACUGGAAUUCCAGGUCAUCCCAAAGUGUUCAGGGAUGAAGCUAGAAAUUCCCAUGAUGACUUCUUCAAGCACAAAGUCAUGAAGAUAUGGCCCAGAGGAAAGAGAAAUGAGGUGUAA
rnacentral:lncRNA from 1 species